rnacentral:tRNA from 1 species
UCUCUGAUAGCUCAGUUGGUAAAGAAUCUGCCUGCAAUGCAGGAGACCCUGGUUCGAUUCCUGGGUUGAGAA